rnacentral:tRNA from 1 species
GGGUAUGGCUCAGGGGUAGAGUACAUGCUUAGCGUGCACAAGGUCCUGGGUUCAAUCCCCAGUACUGCCA